CUUUUCUGUAUGGUUACUAAACUUUUUUAUGGAACAUUUUGCUCCUGAAUAUUAGGUUGAUGUUCUCCCAUGAAUUUGUGGUCAAAGAAAUGUAGAGUCUGCUUUUUUUAUUUUUAAGAUAGCUUGUUUCAUGUAUUUUCUAUGCACAUGCCAAAUUUCAGCAAAAAAUAAUUAUAAGCAAUUAGUCUAAUUAGUAUUAUACCAAGUAUACCACUUUUUUUUAGGUAGCCCUAGGCAAACGGUUUUUUGAGGUGGUUUUUUUUUAGAAACAUAUAUAAACCUUGACGACUUUUGAAAGAAGAAAGAUUAGGCUUGAUUUUUAUAAACUAUUGUGUAUCGCUAACAUACCUUUUUAUGUAGUAUUUUGCUGAGAAUUUUGCAUGGAAAUUUGGCUGAUGUUGUAACAUGGAUUUGUAGUCGAAGAAAUAUAGAGUCUGCUUUUUUUAUUAUUAAAAUAGUUUUCUUCAUGCAUUUUCUAUGAAUAUGCCAAAUUUCAACGAAAAAUAAUUAUAAGCAGUUAGUCUAAUUAGUGUUGGACUUUAGGUACCUAAUUUCGGUUUUUCUGUUGUUUUUUUUGGUAAGCAAAAUCCGGUAGGCGCCGAAAUCCGGAUAAGGGAGCGUUUCAACUAAUAAUCUUAUUUUGAAUUAUUGUGAUAUAUAUUAUUAGAUUUAAAAAAAUAUGGCAAAUUAUAGCAAAAAUGUGUUAGAUGCCCUAACAGAAAGUAAGUUUAAUUUUUUUUAUUCUUAAUAAUAGUAUUAAUAACUAUUUUUAACUCCAAAAAAAAAAUGAAUAAUGUAAAACCUUCAUUGUUUUUUAUGUAACAUAUUAAAAAGCUAGUACUUUUUGAUCUGUGAAUAGAUUUCAAAGAUUACCAGUUUCAAAGUCAUUAUUUGCAAUAUUUAUUUUUUAUUACAAAUUUUGAAUUUUAGCUACAUUUACGUGUUCAACGAAUGUUCCUUCUACAUCUACUAUUUGUGGUAUGUUUACAAGUUUCUACUUUUUAAUAUGUUUAUGCAUAUCUUGGCAAUUACAGUAUUUAUUUUUAAUCACAACUUUGAUAAUCUUUAGUUACAUCUUCUGCGGCUUCUAUGACUGAUUUCCAGGUGUUCAACCUUCUGCUGGUAAAUUUAUGAUUUAAAAAUGUUUCUUAAUGACUAUUGAAUUUAUGUUUAUAUUUAUAUACACUAUUUAAUGCAUUAGUGUUGUAUUAUCCCUCAAAGUGCAGCAGAAUGAAAUUAUUACUCUCAUUAAUAUUGUUUAAGAUAUCAUUGAUUAAUACGUUGUUCAUAUUAUUUAUUCAGCCUAUCAUUUUUGCAAUUAAUUGUUUUAUAUUAAAUUUUACAUAAUGCCAUUCAGUACUAAUCUAUUAAAGAAUCAUUGUCAUUUAGAGCUAACUUAUCAAGACUACCUAUUAUAUAGGUCCCAGCAUCCUGGACCCACCAGCAAUAGUUCAUUUAAGCGAUGGGUCCGGUUAGGAGGAAGGGACAAUAUUUCUUUUAAAUGGCCCUAUCAUCCUCCAAACAAUGGUGCUGGGAGCCGCAGCAGAAGGGGAGGUGGUCGAGGUCGUGGAAGUGGAGGAAGCAGAGGGAGAAGAUGGAAUGGUGGCAGCCUAGUGGUUCAUGGAGAUUAUUACAAUUAUUAGGCACCACCAUUCCUUUUUUUUUUUAAAUAUAUAUUUAAUUUCUGCAAGUUUAUUUUCCGUUUUUUCCCAAUUUAUACAAUUAUCAACAUUUGCUUUAUAUUUUUUCAAAUUUUUACCACAAAAAAUUUAAAAGCAAAACAUUGUAAUAGUCCCAAUGAAAUACUUUUUACAUUUUUAAAAGUUGUAUUAUAUAAAUUUGUAAAGUUUACACUAUAGAUAGAUGUGGACCUUUCAAUAGGAUAAGGUUUUUUUUUUUAAGAUUCUGUAGCCCACGUUAAAUGUAAUUUUAAAUUUAUGUGUAAUAUUUCAAAUGUUGAUAAAUGUGAAGUGUAUUUUGCAAACUUAUUUACUAUUCUUGUUUUAGUUUAUUAAAAAUGUUUGUUUGACUUUAUUAAUAGUUAUUUGAUUUUAUGUUAUUGUACCCUAUGUUUACAGUUCCUAAAAAUUAUAUUUGCAUUAUUGAGGUUGAAAUAUCAGUUUCUUGUAAUCGUAACUUGUUUAAAGUAGGUUGGAUACGACUAGGCAGGAAGGGGGGCGUUUGGCGUGGCACAUGUCCCGUCUCUUAUGUCAACUUAUACACCACUUGUAUAUGCUGUAAAGUAAGAA